rnacentral:rRNA from 1 species
GAUGAACGCUGGCGGCGUGCCUAAUACAUGCAAGUCGAGCGAACAGACGAGGAGCUUGCUCCUCUGACGUUAGCGGCGAACGGGUGAGUAACACGUGGAUAACCUACCUAUAAGACUGGGAUAACUUCGGGAAACCGGAGCUAAUACCGGAUAAUAUAUUGAACCGCAUGGUUCAAUAGUGAAAGACGGUUUUGCUGUCACUUAUAGAUGGAUCCGCGCCGCAUUAGCUAGUUGGUAAGGUAACGGCUUACCAAGGCAACGAUGCGUAGCCGACCUGAGAGGGUGAUCGGCCACACUGGAACGGAGACACGGUCAAGACUCCUACGGGAGGCAGCAGUAGGGAAUCUUCCGCAAUGGGCGAAAGCUUGACGGAGCAACGCGGCGUGAGUGAUGAAGGUCUUCGGAUCGUAAAACUCUGUUAUUAGGGAAGAACAAAUGUGUAAGUAACUAUGCACGUCUUGACGGUACCUAAUCAGAAAGCCACGGCUAACUACGUG